AUGAAACACUCCUACGGGAGGCAGCAGUGGGGGGUAUUGCACAAUGGGCGGAAGCCUGAUGCAGCGACGUCGCGUGAGGGAUGGAGGCCUUCGGGUUGUGAACCUCUGUUUCCGGUGGUGAAGGCCCUGUCCGUGUGGUGGGGUUGACGGUAGCCGGGGAUGAAGCGCCGGCUAACUACGUGCCAGCAGCCGCGGUAAUACGUAGGGCGCGAGCGUUGUCCGGAAUUAUUGGGCGUAAAGGGCUUGUAGGCGGCUGGUCGCGUCUGCCGUGAAAUUCUCCGGCUCAACCGGGGGCUUGCGGUGGGUACGGGCCGGCUGGAGUGCGGUAGGGGAGGCUGGAACUCCUGGUGUAGCGGUGGAAUGCGCAGAUAUCAGGAGGAACACCGGUGGCGAAGGCGGGUCUCUGGGCCGUUACUGACGCUGAGGAGCGAAAGCGUGGGGAGCGAACAGGAUUAGAAACCCUUGUAGUCCGAAGUUC
rnacentral:rRNA from 1 species